rnacentral:rRNA from 1 species
UGGGGAAUCUUGGACAAUGGGCGCAAGCCUGAUCCAGCCAUGCCGCGUGAGUGAAGAAGGCCUUCGGGUUGUAAAGCUCUUUUUACCAGGGACGAUAAUGACGGUACCUGGAGAAUAAGCCCCGGCAAACUUCGUGCCAGCAGCCGCGGUAAUACGAAGGGGGCUAGCGUUGUUCGGAAUUACUGGGCGUAAAGCGCACGUAGGCGGAUUGUUAAGUCAGAGGUGAAAUCCCGGAGCUCAACUUCGGAACUGCCUUUGAUACUGGCAAUCUAGAGUUCGGAAGAGGUUAGUGGAAUUCCCAGUGUAGAGGUGAAAUUCGUAGAUAUUGGGAAGAACACCAGUGGCGAAGGCGGCUAACUGGUCCGGUACUGACGCUGAGGUGCGAAAGCGUGGGGAGCAAACGGGAUUAGAUACCCCAGUAGUCCCUGAG